CCAGGGGAAAACGGUGCCAGACAUCCGGCCAGAAAACAUUGAACACAACACAACGAGGAUGUGUGUGAGUUGGUGACAGGGUGAAGAGCUUUGUGUUCAAUUACAGGCAACAUCACCUGAUUGUUUUGUUCUUAUGUGAAAUACAUGUUCGUUGUGUAAUAAAUAACGAACAAGUUU